rnacentral:rRNA from 1 species
GCGUUGUUCGGAUUCAUUGGGCGUAAAGGGUGCGUAGUUGGCUCGCUAAGUCAGGUGUGAAAUUUCGGAGCUUAACUCCGAAACUGCAUUUGAUACUGGUGUGCUUGAGGACUGGAGAGGAGACUGGAAUUUACGGUGUAGCAGUGAAAUGCGUAGAGAUCGUAAGGAAGACCAGUGGCGAAGGCGGGUCUCUGGACAGUUCCUGACACUGAGGAACGAAGGCGAG